AUUGAACGCUGGCGGCAGGCCUAACACAUGCAAGUCGAGCGGAUGAAGGGAGCUUGCUCCUGGAUUCAGCGGCGGACGGGUGAGUAAUGCCUAGGAAUCUGCCUGGUAGUGGGGGAUAACGUCCGGAAACGGGCGCUAAUACCGCAUACGUCCUGAGGGAGAAAGGGGGGGAUCUUCGGACCUCACGCUAUCAGAUGAGCCUAGGUCGGAUUAGCUAGUUGGUGGGGUAAAGGCCUACCAAGGCGACGAUCCGUAACUGGUCUGAGAGGAUGAUCAGUCACACUGGAACUGGGACACGGUCCAGACUCCUACGGGAGGCAGCAGUGGGGAAUAUUGGACAAUGGGCGAAAGCCUGAUCCAGCCAUGCCGCGUGUGUGAAGAAGGUCUUCGGAUUGUAAAGCACUUUAAGUUGGGAGGAAGGGCAGUAAGUUAAUACCUUGCUGUUUUGACGUUACCAACAGAAUAAGCACCGGCUAACUUCGUG
rnacentral:rRNA from 1 species